AACGAACGCUGGCGGCAUGCCUAACACAUGCAAAUCGAACGAGACCUUCGGGUCUAGUGGCGCACGGGUGCGUAACGCGUGGGAACCUGCCCUUAGGUUCGGAAUAACUCCCCGAAAGGGGUGCUAAUACCGGAUAAUGUCUUCGGACCAAAGAUUUAUCGCCUUUGGAUGGGUCCGCGUUGGAUUAGCUAGUUGGUAGGGUAAAAGCCUACCAAGGCGACGAUCCAUAGCUGGUCUGAGAGGAUGAUCAGCCACACUGGGACUGAGACACGGCCCAGACUCCUACGGGAGGCAGCAGUGGGGAAUAUUGGACAAUGGGCGAAAGCCUGAUCCAGCAAUGCCGCGUGAGUGAUGAAGGCCUUAGGGUUGUAAAGCUCUUUUACCCGGGAUGAUAAUGACAGUACCGGGAGAAUAAGCUCCGGCUAACUCCGUG
rnacentral:rRNA from 1 species